rnacentral:rRNA from 1 species
UACGUAGGGUCCGAGCGUUGUCCGGAGUUACUGGGCGUAAAGCGCGCGCAGGCGGCCCGGCAAGCAUGGCGUGAAAGCCCCCGGCUCAACCGGGGAGGGUCGUCGUGGACUGCUGGGCUUGAGGGCGGUAGGGGUUGGUGGAAUGCCCGGUGUAGUGGUGAAAUGCGUAGAGAUCGGGCGGAACACCCGUGGCGAAGGCGGCCAACUGGGCCGACCCUGACGCUGAGGCGCGAAGGCGUGGGGAGCGAACGGG